ACCGACAACAAUGAAAUUUAUAGUAAAAGGACGUAAUCCGUCGACUUUAGAA
rnacentral:tRNA from 1 species